AUGCCCUAGUAACGGCGAGUGAAGCGGCAACAGCUCAAAUUUGAAAUCUGGCGUCUUCGGCGUCCGAGUUGUAAUUUGCAGAGGGCGCUUUGGCAUUGGCAGCGGUCCAAGUUCCUUGGAACAGGACGUCACAGAGGGUGAGAAUCCCGUACGUGGUCGCUAGCCUUUACCGUGUAAAGCCCCUUCGACGAGUCGAGUUGUUUGGGAAUGCAGCUCUAAAUGGGAGGUAAAUUUCUUCUAAAGCUAAAUACUGGCCAGAGACCGAUAGCGCACAAGUAGAGUGAUCGAAAGAUGAAAAGCACUUUGGAAAGAGAGUUAAAAAGCACGUGAAAUUGUUGAAAGGGAAGCGCUUGCAGCCAGACUUGCCUGUAGUUGCUCAUCCGGGUUUUUACCCGGUGCACUCUUCUAUAGGCAGGCCAGCAUCAGUUUGGGCGGUUGGAUAAAGGUCUCUGUCAUGUACCUCUCUUCGGGGAGAACUUAUAGGGGAGACGACAUGCAACCAGCCUGGACUGAGGUCCGCGCAUCUGCUAGGAUGCUGGCGUAAUGGCUGUAAGCGGCCCGUCUUGAAACACGGACCAAGGAGUCUAACAUCUAUGCGAGUGUUUGGGUGUCAAGCCCGAGCGCGUAAUGAAAGUGAACGGAGGUGGGAACCUUUCGGGGUGCACCAUCGACCGAUCCUGAUGUCUUCGGAUGGAUUUGAGUAAGAGCAUAGCUGUUGGGACCCGAAAGAUGGUGAACUAUGCUUGAAUAGGGUGAAGCCAGAGGAAACUCUGGUGGAGGCUCGCAGCGGUUCUGACGUGCAAAUC
rnacentral:rRNA from 1 species